UACGUAAGUUGUGCUGGAAUCUGAG
rnacentral:piRNA from 1 species